rnacentral:misc_RNA from 1 species
GAUGAAGAACGUAGCGAAACGCGAUAGUUAAUGUGAAUUGCAGAAUUCAGUGAAUCAUCGAGUCUUUGAACGCACAUUGCGCCUUUUGGUAUUCCGAAAGGCACGUCUGUUCGAGCGUCAGUAAAAACCCUUCCGGACCGGUGGUGUUUUUUCGUAAAAAGGAAAAACCUGCCUGGCCUCGGGACCCUGGCGUGGGGAAGUGGAACCCGGUCUCCGGCCUGGUUUUUUUCCCCCGCUUAAACGCGGAGAAAAGCUAGCGGGCAUUCGGCCUCACACAUUGCGACAACUCGUAAAAAUUUUCUUAUAAGUUGUAACCGCUCACAGUGGAACCUGCCCCGCCUCUUGCAAAAUUUUUUUUACUUUGAACCCUUGACCUCGGAUCAGAUGAGGAUACCCGCUGAACUUAAGCAUAUCAAUAAGCGGAGGA